CAAGGAAUAGUGCCAUAUCAAAGGCGCAGUGUUGGUUUCUGCUGCUGGCAAAUUGGGCACUCUGCAGUGGCAGUAUCCAGGUCAGCUUUCCACUGGCCCAUCUUGUUUUCCGCACUGGGAAGGUGGGGCACAAGCACAAAUGUUAGGACCUGAAAGGUGGUGAACUCUGCCUGGGCAGGGCAAAGCCAGAGGAAACUCUGGUGGAGGUCUGUAGCAGUCCUGAUGUGCAAAUCGGUCAUCCAACCUGGGUGUAGGGGCAAAAGACUAAUUGAACCAUCUAGUAGCUAG
rfam:Nomascus leucogenys chromosome 12, whole genome shotgun sequence.